rnacentral:ncRNA from 2 species
AUCUGCAUCGGUGCGACAGGUUCCCCGCAAGGGGAUGAAAAGGGAAGUCGGGUAAAGCCCGCGCUGCCCCUGCAACUGUAAGCGGCGAGCCAUCCGGCCAUCACGCCAUUGGACCCACGGGGUUUCCGAGAAGGCGGCCGGAAAGCAUCGACCCGCGAGCCAGGAGACCUGCCUGACGCAGUCGUUCUUC